rnacentral:sRNA from 2 species
CAUAUGGAGUAUACCAAGCGCAUACUACCAUUUACAGCCUAGCAGCAUAAAAUUGGCUGCAAAUCCUACGGCCAAUCAUUCCUUCAACCCAUUCCCACUGCAUGGAAAUCAGUGGCAUCAAUUCGCGAAGUCUUGUCGGCCAGCCUUGUUAAUUACCUGAACCGCGCCACCAAGACUCGGACCCUUGCUUCUAUUCUUUUUGCCUUCUUAUGCUCCCUAUUCCCUUGUUGGGACCAAGAGUCAGAUGCUUACUGUUUGCUACUAACCAAUCUAAGUCAUGGUGACAGUGGUUUGUUGAUAUAAUCUCCCGGAGCCCUCAAAACCACAGAUUCGGAGUCAAACCUCUGCGUCAAAUGAAUGCCCUACCAUAUCCCUAUGAUUGGGACUUUACGACUUAUCUUUCGCCGUUCAGAAGAUUUCUUCUUCGUCGUGGAAGCUGAAGGUGAAAAAGUCAGGUUGAUUAUGGCUGUGCUCAAGACCUAGGUGCAGUCAUUGAGAACUUUAUAAUUGCAUUACUUGGUUGUGGAACAUAGAAGUCUACACACGCAAUCACAAAUACCAAGUCUCAACUACAUGGCCCAACCUCUAAUUCAAUG